UUGACCUCAAAUCAGGUAGGACUACCCGCUGAACUUAAGCAUAUCAAUAAGCGGAGGAAAAGAAACUAACAAGGAUUCCCCUAGUAACUGCGAGUGAAGCGGGAUAAGCUCAAAUUUGAAAUCUGGCAGUCUUUUUUUUCUUCUUUGGCUGUCCGAGUUGUAAUCUAGAGAAGUGCUACCUGCACUGGAC
rnacentral:rRNA from 1 species